rnacentral:lncRNA from 1 species
AUGCCCAUCCUUUGCUGUUGCUGUCUCUCAUCGUCUCCAGAAGAGCGGGAACCUCUUCCUGUAAAUACAAGACAGCCCUGUCGAAACAUUGGGGUCUUCAGUAAGGAGGGGACCCUCACGCUGAAGCUGGUGAACGUACGUGCCAUCGACACCCACUUCUCAGAUAUUGCUAAAACAUUUAACAAGCAGCACAAUGAUCACUCUGCCAUGAUGAGGGCUGCCCAAAAGCUGAAGGAGGUUUCUGGCUGUGCUCCCACUGCUAGUCUUACAGCCUGCAUAGAGAUGAUGCAGCAGGAGCAUGGUAAGCAGACCAAAAGUGCCUGCACCUUGCAGGUGCACGUGGAAGGCUAUAGCUUUUUCCUCCUUGUGAAGGACAAGAAAGUGCCUGACAAACUGAAGCAGGCCCAGCAGCAGGUGGGGGAGCUGAGUCGUUCCACAAAGUGUGUCCUCGCAAGAAAAACGAGACUCCAGGAAAUGAUCCGCUCGGUGCUCCAGAGCCAGGCUCAGCUGGAGGAGAGGAUCAAAACUGCAAACCCUGAGUAUCUGGACCAGGUACGGCUAGAAGGUAAUCUGAGAGAGAACAUCGAAAAAAUCAGUCUGGCCAAGGAGCUCUCAGAGCAGUAUGAUGAAGCUGCCAGGAGCAUUUUGAGGGAAAUGGCCCAGCUAGCUGGCUUGAAUCCGGAAGGGGCUCCUUAAAUAGGGGCCAAAUAGAUGUUUAUAACCUGCCACACAUACAGAGCAAUAGCUUAGAGGAUGCCUGGGUGGUCAAUUGGCUUGGGAGUGUCGUUAAAUAGCACUCAGCAAAUGACUUACGGGUUGCUGUGUGCCUCGGGUCCAUUUUAUUCAAUUAUGGGCAGAAGGAUGUAUCUGGAAAAGGGAUAUUUUUUUCUACCUGAAGCAUUAACACAGGUGGACAGAAAGUGACAUCUUCAGUGCAGUGUCUUAAGUCAGCCUUUGUGCACUAAUGUAAGGAAAAAUAUUCAGUACCUGACCAAAAUAAGAGCAAUUUGCUCUGGAAAUUGGUAACAUUUCCAUCCCUACAUAAUAAAUGAGUGACUGUGGUGGAAAGGUAUUUAGGG